AGCAGCCGCGGUAAUACGGAGGGUGCAAGCGUUAUCCGGAUUCACUGGGUUUAAAGGGUGCGUAGGCGGGUAGGUAAGUCAGAGGUGAAAUCUCGGAGCUUAACUCUGAAACUGCCUUUGAUACUAUUUAUCUUGAAUAUUGUGGAGGUAAGCGGAAUAUGUCAUGUAGCGGUGAAAUGCUUAGAUAUGACAUAGAACACCUAUUGCGAAGGCAGCUUACUACGCGUAUAUUGACGCUGAGGCACGAAAGCGUGGGGAUCAAACAGGAUUAGAUACCCUGGUAGUCCACGCCCUAAACGAUG
rnacentral:rRNA from 1 species